rnacentral:rRNA from 1 species
AUUGAACGCUGGCGGCAGGCCUAACACAUGCAAGUCGAACGAGUGGCGGACGGGUGAGUAAUGUCUGGGACACUGCCCGUUGGAGGGGGAUAACUACUGGAAAAGGUAGCUAAUACCGCAUACCAUCGGAUGUGCCCAGAUGGGCUGAGCUAGUAGGUGGGGUAACGGCUCACCUAGGCGACGAUCCCUAGCUGGUCUGAGAGGAUGAACAGCCACAUUGGAACUGAGAUACGGUCCAGACUCCUACGGGAGGCAGCAGUGGGGAAUAUUGGACAAUGGGCGCAAGCCUGAUGCAGCCAGGCGGCGUGGAUGAGGAAGGCCUUCGGGUUGGAAGGUACUUUCAGCGAGGAGGCGUUACUCGCAGAAGAAGCACCGGCUAACUCCGUGCCAGCAGCCGCGGUAAUUC